rnacentral:rRNA from 1 species
UACGUAGGGUGCAAGCGUUAAUCGGAAUUACUGGGCGUAAAGCGUGCGCAGGCGGUUGUGCAAGACAGAUGUGAAAUCCCCCGGGCUUAACCUGGGAAUUGCAUUUGUGACUGCACGGCUAGAGUGUGUCAGAGGGGGGUAGAAUUCCACGUGUAGCAGUGAAAUGCGUAGAUAUGUGGAGGAAUACCGAUGGCGAAGGCAGCCCCCUGGGCCAAUACUGACGCUCAUGCACGAAAGCGUGGGGAGCAAACAGG